UCUGGACUGAAGUGGGACCAUUUCCUCUGCGUGCUGGCAUUUUCUCCAGCCCUGUCCUUCUGCUGGACACCUCUGCUUCACUUUGUAAUUGACUUUUGUAUUGCCAGCUUAUCCCACCCAUCCCCAUGCUCCUUCCCUUCAGCAUCUCCUCUCCAGGGAUUCCUCUGCAAGAACCUGGCCAACACAGGAGGCACAAAAAGCGCUUGCCUUUGUUGCUUAGUCCUUCCCAUUCCUGUAGGCUGGGUCUGUCUUAUUUGAGAUCUGAUGCCACUUAUGGCUUCUGUUUGAGAAGAAGAAAAAGCUUUGGCUUCUGGUUAUGGGUAAUGCAGAUCAAAGUGUCCUUCCCCACCACCCCUGCCUCUGGAGAGCGGCACACAGGAGCAGAAUGAAAGAGCCAUGGGAAUGCUGAGCAUCAUUUUAUUAUUAUAACCUUUAAGAAGACAGUGGGAGGAUGGAGGAGAAGCACAAGGAAGACACUAAGACAAGACCACACAGACAGCACUUAAGGGGGGAGAGCAAACCCAAAGGGAAUUAAAGAGGCAAAUAGAUGGAAGGAGAGGAAGAGGCAACAGGAGACUGAGCAAGACUGGCAAGGAAUGACAAAGCCACCUUCUUCCAGUUUAUUCAAGGAGCAGACCUGAGGGCUCUCCAUCCAUGAAAAACCAGCCUUCUGCACACCGUUCUCCCAUUUUCCUGAAAUCUCUGCUUUUGCUCCUCCAGGCAACCAUUAAUCUAAUAUUAAGCCCCUUAACCUCUCUAAUUGUUCCCUUUCAGUGUCAGCUGGUUUCCUAUUAACCUUUCAAUCUCUCAGUAAUGCAGUUACUUCUGACUCCAGCCAGCCCCGGCUCUAAAGCUUUACCUCCGGCAAUGAAUUUUCCAAGCUUUCACUUUUUUUUCUCUUUCUUUUCUGUAAUGAUUAUUACUGUUGUUAAGGAGCCAGUUUGAACCAGCCUCUAAGUGCACAGGGCUGAACCAGUUGGAGUCUAUAAAUAGCCCUUUGCUAACCUUGUGCUUGAUUUCAUUAGGUUGAUUGGCUUCCCUCUCUCCACUUCAUUGCAUCUCUGUCUGUCUCUACCCUCUUCACUAUUGAUGCUGGUUCUUUUGUUGCUAUCCGAGACACCUGCUUGUUGAUAGGAGGGAUGAUCACUCCUACUUUUUUGUCUCCCAAACAAAAGUGUUGUCACAGGGGAAGCAUCUCUAGAGUUUCAUAACAGAGGGAAAGCAGAGGGUGAGGCAGGCCUGAAACAGCAAGUUGGAAAACACCCACAGCAUGCAAUAGGAAGUCGCAUAGCUGAGCCCCAGACACAGGAGGAAAGUUUGCUGCCUAUAGGCUGGGUUUCUCCUUGACACUCAAUGUGAUUAUCCUUGAAUGCACACCCUAUCGUGCAAUAUCAAAGCCAAGGCUCCUGCCUAAAGGCAAAUAGUGCUGCAGUUCAAAUCAGGAGUGCUCGCCUAAAGCAGACAUACAGAUCCCAGAACACAGUGUGCACUGUCUGCUGCAUGAGGCAGGUCCUCUGGCGACUUUUACGCCAUUAAUUGAUUCACUACUGCUGCUUGACCCUGUAACCUAGCAGCACGCAGUUGCUUCCCUGGCCAGCAUUAAGCUGCAGCUCAACACUGUACUUGUGCUGUGCCUCCUCUAACUCGCCUGCUUCUUUUAGUGCUGAUGCAGAUCCUGAAUUCUGCUCAACGCUGAUACCUCUCCCAAGUGCCUGCAAACCGCUCCUUUUAUUGUAAAACACAAAGAAUGUUUGCAGUGAAGCCUAAGUUGACCUGAAAUCUCUGGAGUCAGUGUAAAUCACAGCUCAGCACUGCAAGGCUGGGUCUGAGUGGCACUUGGAAACUGCUGGUGUGCAGCGAUGCAGUGGGGCAAAGCAUCUGCUGGCGCUUCACAAGUGCUAGGAGCGCUCUUGCAACAGCAUAACAAGUUUUGUUCGAUGGACCCAGCACUGGCUUCUAGAGGUGAGGAAGCACCAUCUUCCUGGAGAAGAGCUGGGAUCAGGGAUCUAGUCAUGGCUCUGUUUUGCUGCAUGCCGAAGUGCAAGUUCUCUCCCUGUGGAGCCUCAUUUUUUUUUCCCCAAAGAGAAAGACUUAGAGGAAACCUUUCCCCUUUGUGCUUAGGCUGACGUUUACAGCCUUUUGCUGCAGAUCGGAAGCAGGAUUUGUGUGUCUAAAAGCUCCUCUGUUUUUCCUAGCUGUAUCAUUUGUCUAACACCAGCUGUUACCUUUCCCCAAGUGUCCUGCCUCAAAGUCAACAGCAACUUACCAAAAUAAUGGGAGCUAUUCUCUUCUGCUCUCUGUGCAGCUCUGUGUGUCCCUACUUGCCCACUUACUACUAUUCCUUGUUGUUGGAGGGCAGAUUCUGGCAGCAACAAGCCUUUGUCUUAUUUUCUGGCAAACAACCUCAGCCUGCAACAAGGCAGGAAAGACAAACAGUGAAGAAAUAAGAGCUGGUAAAGCUGUGGUUAAAGGAGAAGGUUAACUUCUGCUCGGUUCUUUUUUAAAUACCGAAUUUGACAGGGGGAAAGGUUUGUAAAAGCACGACAUGCAUGGAAAGCACAUCCCCUGGCCAGGGCCAGUGGCAGACGGCAUUGAGACCUGUUUAAUAAUACAGGUUCCCCAGGAUAGCCGGGUGCUUGCUUCCCAUCACUCACUGCUUCUUUGCCUUCAUGUUUAUCCUUCUAAAUCCUCAGCCCCUGCUUUUGCUCCCAUGCCUUUCGGAUGCCCAGGUCUCACCAGGGUGAAGGAGGCCCCCCAAUUGCUGCAGUGGGGCCCCAUGGUGGUCACUGGAGUGGUGCCUCCCUCUUGCCUGCUCCCAGCUACCCUUAUCACAGAAUCAUUAGGGUUGGAAGGGAGCUCUGCAGGAUCACCUCCCUCGACCUGCUGCCACACUCCUCCCAAUGCACCCCAGGAUACUAUUGUAUAGAGGCAGCGGGAGGAGAAUUGGGUGCUGCUUCCUCCUCCUGGGCCUGCCAAUGGGUACCAUCUUGGGGUUCUCCCCCUAGUCCUGGGAUGGGCCUUUGAGCAGCUUGGUCUAGUGGAAGGUGUCCCUGCGCAUGGCAGGGGAUUGGAACUGGAUGAGCUUUUAGGUCCCUUCCAACCCCAGCCAUUCUGUGGUGCAUCAGUGAGGUCUCCACAAGCUUUGUGUUCUGCCUGUGAAGAAGGGUGGCCAACCCGCAGCCCCACCAGUGGGGGAAGGCACUGUGGGGACCACUGCUAUGGCUGUGGACAGGGCAAAGCCCCUGUGGCCAGCCAGAACUCCCCUAUCAGAGCCCCAGCAGAGUGGGGGGCACAGCCUGGCCCCAGAUGAUGACUUGGGGCUGAGUUAAGCUGGGUACUGUUCAAGCUUUCGCUCCCCAAGCACCUGCACUGGAGGUGGAGAGGAAGAAAACUCCCCAAGGUUGCACCAGGAGGUGCCAGCUGUAGAUGCAAAUGAGUGUUUACUUUCACACACCUUGUUUCCUCUCCACCUUUACUCCCCUAGGGAGGAAGAGGAGGUAGGGUGGUGGAGGGAAGGGUGAGAUAGCGUGGCUAAUACAUCUCCCCUCCAUGCUGCUCUCAUGCUUGCUGUGUCUGAGGGCUGCUCAGAGCUCCUGUAACACUUCCUGGCCCACAUCCCAUGUUGCCUAUGGGAAUGUCAAAGCCCAUGGUGAGCCCAUUUGACUCUCUGAUGAGCAUGCUGCCUUCUGUGCUGUCCUCACUGCCGGGAGAGGGGAGCAAGGCUGACCAGUGGGAUGGUGGCACGUGGCUGCAGAGUAACAUGAACUGCCUUGCAGUGAGUCCUGCGUCAGUGGAGCAGAACACAUGUUGGGAGGGGAAGCCUAUGGGAGAUGAAGCCCAAAGCAAAAGCUACCCCUGCUUUUUCGGUCUGCAUUAUGACAGGCGAAUGGUAUCAGAUCCUGCCUUGGCUACACCCCAGUUGCCCAUUUUCCCUGGCUUCUCCUCUUCCAUGGGAAGCUUCCUAAAUGUUUAUCCCAGUGAUCAAUCAUAUGACCCCACUUUGGCAAUGUGAUACGGCUUUGGCUGUGCUAAUCAGCUUAGCGUGGGCCCCUUGACCCCUGUCAUCUUAUUUUAGGGAAAAACUUUACACAGUGCCUGGUGAGGGCUGUUCAGUCCAGAGGAUUUAAAUCCAAAAUGAAAAAUAGCAACGCAGACUUUUGCUUUCUUAUUUUGUAGCCAAAAUUCAGUUUAAUUUUACAGGUCCUGAUGUGUCAUUCCUCUAGGAGGAGUUGAGCUUUGAAUAAUACAGAAAGGUUUCAGUUGCAUGGUAAAAUAUUUGACACUUUUGACUGUUAAAAUACCCCAAAUAGCAAAUGUUGAGUGCUUUGGCUGAAGCAAUGCUCAGUCAUCCAAAUGGACUUAGACACUGAAUCACUUCUCUCCUUUCUCCUCCCAACUUUAAAUGAUGUCCUUUCAAGCAAAGUGGGCUGCAGAGAAAAGAAUAGUGAUUGGUGCAGGGGACUGGAAACAUUUACCUUGAACCUCAAGGGGGAGACACCAGAGGAGAUAUGGGCCUGAAGAGAAAUAUUAUAUUUUUGGAGUGUUUUUUUCUCCACAAAGAGACAUCUGUACUCUAAAGCACCAGCAAAAGUCAGAGAUUAACCAGCAGCCAAGACCCCAGCUCAUCAGCUAGCCUGCCAGUGGUGCAGGGGGCAGAAAGUAUGCUGGUAACUAACUCUCUUUCCCAGGCUCCAAGAGCGUAGUGCAAGCCCUGCAGACAUUAUAUAGGAAAACAUGAACUACAUCAUGUCUGAAGGAGCUUGUUUUAUUAUAGGGAUGAGUACUCACAACCUGCUUUCUACUACAGAGACUGAAGGGAACAGACUGGCUUUGCAAGGGAGACGCAGAUGAGGGCACGUUAACUCUAUUGGCGUAAAAGAAUAACUGGAAAUGUGCUGUUGUGUAAGAGGAGGGUCUGGCAGGAACCGAGCACCUUCAAAGCCUGAGAACUAUGACCAGUGACAGCUUCUGCCGUCAGCACUGCAGGUGAGCAUCCAGUGUGCUGCCAGACCAGGAAAUGUCGCCAGACCUGCCUGAGGGCUUUCCCAACCCAGCCUAGCUGCUGCAGCAGCCUCUGCUCCCAGGCUUCUGAAGCACCAUCUGGAUGCAACAGGAAGAUCUUCAAACUUCGUUUGCCACAUCUCCAGCCCUUCCCCUUCUCUGUGGAGCAUGUCCUUGAGUGAGGUAAUCAUCCUCUGUUCUCAGCAGGUGAAAAGAUCCUCCUUUUGAGCAUCUCAGGGGAGAAACGGCAACUGCCAAGGCCCAGUAGAAGACUUUGAACAUCCUCAAGGUUUUGAACUUGGCUUGAACUCUUGACACCCAUGACUUGAAUACAGUCUGGUACUGAUUAACUCUGCUGCUUCGAUCUGGGGAAGGGAAUGUUCUUCCUGCAGUUAAAUAUUUACUCAUCAUUAUACAUGGACCAGGCAUUACAGAGCCUAAGGCUGCAUUUGCAUUUUCUUCCCAUAAAUUUAAAGAGAAAAGAGCAUCUUCCAGUAUUUCGGUGCUACAGCUUCCACCCUUCAUGGUAGUCCAGUCACGUUCAACCUAGCUAUCCUGUCAGCUUCAGCAGCAUUCCUAAACCAUGAGAUUUGUAGCUGACACCACGGGGAGCCCACAUUGCACUCCCAAUAAAUACCUUGGUUCCAAAGUA